rnacentral:rRNA from 1 species
AGAGUUUGAUCCUGGCUCAGAAUCAACGCUGGCGGCGUGCCUAACACAUGCAAGUCGAACGCGAAAGGUUCCUUCGGGAACCCGGUAGAGUGGCGGACGGGUGAGUAACACGUGGGUAAUCUGCCUUUGGGUGGGGAAUAACCCUUCGAAAGAGGGGCUAAUACCGCAUAACGCAGCGGCACCGAAUGGUGACAGUUGUUAAAGUGGGGGAUCGCAAGACCUCACGCCUGAAGAGGAGCCCGCGCCCGAUUAGCUAGUUGGUGCGGUAAAGGCGUACCAAGGCGACGAUCGGUAGCCGGCCUGAGAGGGCGGACGGCCACACUGGCACUGAGAGACGGGCCAGACUCCUACGGGAGGCAGCAGUGGGGAAUUUUGGGCAAUGGGCGCAAGCCUGACCCAGCAACGCCGCGUGAAGGACGAAAUCCCUCUGGGAUGUAAACUUCGAAAGUUGGGGAAGAAAUCCGUGUGAGGAGAAUGCACACGGGAUGACGGUACCCAACUAGC